UACGUAGGCAGCGAGCGUUGUUCGGAGUUACUGGGCGUAAAGCGUGCGUAGGCGGUGGUCCAAGUCUGGUGUGAAAUCUCCCGGCUCAACCGGGAGGGUGCGCCGGAAACUGGGCCGCUGGAGUGCCGGAGAGGUAAGCGGAAUUCCUGGUGUAGCGGUGAAAUGCGUAGAUAUCAGGAGGAACACCCGUGGUGUAGACGGCUUACUGGACGGCGACUGACGCUGAGGCACGAAAGCGUGGGGAGCAAACAGG
rnacentral:rRNA from 1 species